GACGAACGCUGGCGGCGUGCUUAACACAUGCAAGUCGAACGGUGAAGCGCCUUCCUUUUUGGUGGGUGUGGAUGAGUGGCGAACGGGUGAGUAACACGUGAGUAACCUGCCCCCUUCUUCUGGAUAACCGCAUGAAAGUGUGGCUAAUACGGGAUAUUCUGGGUCUGUCGCAUGAUGGGUCUGGGAAAGAUAUUGUUUCGGUGGGGGAUGGGCUCGCGGCCUAUCAGCUUGUUGGUGGGGUGAUGGCCUACCAAGGCGGUGACGGGUAGCCGGCCUGAGAGGGUGGACGGUCACACUGGGACUGAGACACGGCCCAGACUCCUACGGGAGGCAGCAGUGGGGAAUAUUGCACAAUGGGCGCAAGCCUGAUGCAGUGACGCCGCGUGAGGGAUGGAGGCCUUCGGGUUGUGAACCUCUUUCGCCAGUGAAGCAGGCCUGCCUCGUUUGUGGGUGGGUUGACGGUAGCUGGAUAAGAAGCGCCGGCUAACUACGUG
rnacentral:rRNA from 1 species